rnacentral:rRNA from 1 species
UCCUGACACAGGGAGGUAGUGACAAGAAAUAACAAUACAGGGCUCUUUCGAGUCUUGUAAUUGGAAUGAGUACAAUUUACAUCUCUUCACGAGGAUCAAUUGGAGGGCAAGUCUGGUGCCAGCAGCCGCGGUAAUUCCAGCUCCAAUAGCGUAUAUUAAAGUUGUUGCAGUUAAAACGCUCGUAGUCGGAUUUCGGGGCAGGUUUGCCGGUCUGCCGAUGGGUAUGCACUGGUNGAACNGUCCUUCCUUCCGGAGACGGCGCCUNCUCUUAACUGAGCGGGUGUCGGAGACGGAUCGUUUACUUUGAAAAAAUCAGAGUGUUUCAAGCAGGCAGCUCGCUUUUGCAUGGAUUAGCAUGGGAUAAUGAAAUAGGACUUUGGUGCUAUUUUGUUGGUUUCGAACACCGAAGUAAUGAUUAACAGGGACA